rnacentral:pre_miRNA from 1 species
AAUUUAAACUGAAAAGUAAUCAACGACAAAGUUUCAUAACUCACUAAUAUCUAUAACUUUUAUUUUGGUUAUUUCUUCAUCCGGUAAAGAGAUAGUAACAUUGUUCACAAAAUUUACAUCUCUUAUAUGGUUUUUUAAACUAUAAGAGAGAUUUGUAAAUUUUGUGAACAAUGUUACUAUCACUUUGUCGGAUGAAGAAAUGACCAAAAUAAAAGUUAUAGAUAUUGGUGAGUUAUACAACUUUAUUGUUGAUGACUUUUUCAGUUUAAAUC